rnacentral:rRNA from 1 species
GGGUAGCUAUGUACGGAAUGGAUAAGCGCUGAAAGCAUCUAAGCGCGAAGCCAACUUCAAGAUAAGAUUUCCCACCGUAAGGGUAAGACCCCAGAAAGACUAUCUGGUUGAUAGGUCGAAGGUGUAAGUGCAGCAAUGUAUUUAGCUUAUCGAUACUAAUAGGUCGAGGACUUGACCAA